GAUGAACGCUGGCGGCGUGCCUAAUACAUGCAAGUCGAGCGAACAGACGAGGAGCUUGCUCCUCUGACGUUAGCGGCGGACGGGUGAGUAACACGUGGAUAACCUACCUAUAAGACUGGGAUAACUUUGGGAAACCGGAGCUAAUACCGGAUAAUAUAUUGAACCGCAUGGUUCAAUAGUGAAAGACGGUUUUGCUGUCACUUAUAGAUGGAUCCGCGCCGCAUUAGCUAGUUGGUAAGGUAACGGCUUACCAAGGCAACGAUGCGUAGCCGACCUGAGAGGGUGAUCGGCCACACUGGAACUGAGACACGGUCCAGACUCCUACGGGAGGCAGCAGUAGGGAAUCUUCCGCAAUGGGCGAAAGCUUGACGGAGCAACGCCGCGUGAGUGAUGAAGGUCUGCGGAUCGUAAAACUCUGUUAUUAGGGAAGAACAAAUGUGUAAGUAACUAUGCACGUCUUGACGGUACCUAAUCAGAAAGCCACGGCUAACUACGU
rnacentral:rRNA from 1 species